GAUCCUGGCUCAGGACGAACGCUGGCGGCGCGCCUAACACAUGCAAGUCGAACGAGCGAGAGAGAGCUUGCUUUCUCGAGCGAGUGGCGAACGGGUGAGUAACGCGUGAGGAACCUACCUCAAAGAGGGGGACAACAGUUGGAAACGACUGCUAAUACCGCAUAAGCCCACGACCCGGCAUCGGGAAGAGGGAAAAGGAGCAAUCCGCUUUGAGAUGGCCUCGCGUCCGAUUAGCUAGUUGGUGAGG
rnacentral:rRNA from 1 species